GACUUCUGGUUUAAUGCACCUGGCCCGCGGCCCACAAGGCCUGUGAGUGCCGGCGCGCGUUUACCAUCCUUCCAGCAACGGCUACCCUUAACUGGGCGGCUGGAACUGGAUCUUUUACUUUGAAAAAAUUAGAGUGUUUAAAGAAGGCGUUUGCUCUGAAUACAUUAGCAUGGAAUAAUAAUCUAGGACUUCGGUUCUAUUUUGUUGGUUUCUAUAACUGAAGUAAUGAUUGAUAGGGAUAGUUGGGGAUGCUACCGGUCGGAGGUGAAAUUCUUGGAUUCGGUCAAGACUAACUUUGCGAAAGCAUU
rnacentral:rRNA from 1 species